rnacentral:lncRNA from 1 species
GUCGAAGUCCCAUGGUUAGGGCUUUCAGCUGGGGAGGGGUAUCUUUGUGCCAAGCUAGACUGUGUUUAAUCCUUUUAAUCACAAGAGACAAAAAUCCUCAGACACGAGAAGGCAUGUAUCACCUGAAAUUGCCUGAGAGGCUCAACCAACUUUUAGUCACAAGAUCUGCGAACACUUCCCUAGUGGGUGCUGAGGUUCUCCAAGGAGCUGCUGGGCCCAUUUGCAAACAGAUAAGCAAACGGCUGGGUGAGUGCGUCGAGGAGGGCUUCCCGUAAGAAGUUAUGCCCCCGGUGAAUCUUAAAGGAUGCAGCAUGCCAGGCAAAAUUCCACAGGGCUCCAGAAAGAGGGCAGUGCAGAGGCAAAAGCACAGACAGAAGUUGGCAUGUGGGUGGGGAGUGAGGGACAUGGCUAGCCUACCACGAAGCUUCAGAUCAGGAAGAGAUGAGAGGUGAGGCUGGACAGGGUGGCAGAGGGUGUCCUGAAGACAGCAGGGAGCCAUGAAAGACAUGGAGCAGGAGUGUAGUGAGAUUAAACCUGUAUAGUAGAGGCAGAGGCCAGCAUCAAGGAGACAGCAGUCCUGGCAAGACACAGAUAAGGCCAGCACUAGAGAAGAGACAGCCAGCAAGGCUGACAAGUAUGUAUUAGAUAAUGCCCAUGGGCCAGGCAGAGGUGCUGGGGAGGGAAGAGUUAAUGGGACAGAGUCUCUGCCCUCUUGAGUUUCACAUCAAUGGGAG